UUAUCUGGUUGAUCCUGCCAGUAGUCAUAUGCUUGUCUCAAAGCUUAAGCCAUGCAAGUCUAAGUGCAAACUUGAACAAAGUGAAACCGCGAAAAGCUCAUUAAAUCAGUCAUGGUUCACUGGAGCCUAUUCACCUUGAAUGGAUAACUGUGGUAAUCCUAGAGCUAAUACAUGCAACUAAGUCCCGUCCAGUGAUGGUAAGGACGCUUUUAUUAGAUCAAAACCAAACGGAUUCGUCCGUCUCUUUUGAUGACUCUGAGUAACACACAACUGAUCGCAACGGUCCUCGUACCGGCGACUCAUCUUUCAAAUGACUGACUUAUCAACUGUCGAUGGUAGAUUAAAUGUCUACCAUGGUUGUUACGGGUAACGGGGAAUCAGGGUUCGAUUCCGGAGAGGGAGCCUGAGAAACUGCUACCACAUCCAAGGAAGGCAGCAGGCACGCAAAUUACCCACUCCCGGCACGGGGAGGUAGUGACAAAAAAUAACGAUACGGGACUCAUCCGAGGCCCCGUAAUCGGAAUGAGUACACUUUAAAUCCUUUAACGAGGAUCUAUUGGAGGGCAAGCCUGGUGCCAGCAGCCGCGGUAAUUCCAGCUCCAAUGGCGUAUAUUAAAGUUGUUGCGGUUAAAAAGCUCGUAGUUGGUUCUGUGUGCCACGCUGUCGGUUCACCGCCUGCCGGUGCAACUGGCAUGCCGUGGGAUGUCUUGCCGGAGGGGGCCGAGGUUCGCAGCGCAGGCUUCGUGUCUCGCUGCCGGGCCGAGGUCCUCGAUCACGCUGCCACGGUGCUCUUCACCGAGUGUCGGGGCAGGCCGACAAGACUACUUUGAACAAAUUAGAGUGCUUAAAGCAGGCCUAACGUUGCCUGAAUAGUUGUGCAUGGAAUAAUGGAAUAGGACCUUGUUUCUGUUUUGUUGGCUUUCGGAAUUCAAGGUAAUGAUCAAUGUGGACAGGCGGGGGCAUUCGUAUUGCGACGUUAGAGGUGAAAUUCUUGGAUCGUCGCAAGACGAACUAGAGCGAAAGCAUUUGCCAAGUAUGUCUUAGUUGAUCAAGAACGAAAGUUAGAGGCUCGAAGGCGAUCAGAUACCGCCCUAGUUCUAACCAUAAACGAUGCUAGCCAGCAAUCCGCCGAUGUUCCUCCGAUGACUCGGCGGGCAACCCCCGGGAAACCAAAGCUUUUGGGUUCCGGGGGAAGUAUGGUUGCAAAGCUGAAACUUAAAGGAAUUGACGGAAGGGCACCACCAGGAGUGGAAUAUGCGGCUUAAUUUGACUCAACACGGGGAAUCUUACCAGGGUUAAAAACAUAUAGAGGAUUGACAGAUUGAAGAGAAUUCAUGAUAAUAUGAAAAGUGGUGCAUGGCCGUUCUUAGUUGGUGGAACGAUUUGUCUGGUUAAUUCCGAUAACGAACGAGACUCU
rnacentral:rRNA from 1 species